ensembl:misc_RNA Metazoa_SRP Metazoan signal recognition particle RNA
GCCAGUGUGGUGGCAGGCACUGAAGUCCCAGCUACUUGGGAGGCUGAAGUAGGAAGAUCACUUGAGCCCAGGAGUUCUGAGGUGUAUCGAGUUAUGCCUGCCGGGUGUCCACACUAAGUCGACAUCAUGGUGAGCUCCCAGGAGCAUGGGACCACCAUGUUGCCUCAGGAGGGGUAAACUGGCCCAAGGUGGAAACAGAGCAGGUCAAAACUCCCAUGCUGAUCAGUAAUGGGAUGUUGUCUGUGAAUAGCCACUGCAAUCCUGCCUGCACAACAUAGGGAGAUCCCGUUUCCA